AAUCGCAGAUCAGCAUUGCUGCGGUGAAUACGUUCCCGGGCCUUGUACACACCGCCCGUCACGUCACGAAAGUCGGUAACACCCGAAGCCGGUGGCCCAACCCCUUGUGGGAGGGAGCUGUCGAAGGUGGGACUGGCGAUUGGGACGAAGUCGUAACAAGGUAGCCGUACCGGAAGGUGCGGCUGGAUCACCUCCUUUCUAAGGAG
rnacentral:rRNA from 1 species